CCCAUUCUAUCCCUAACCUCCAGUCCCGAGCGUCACCACCCUGAUGCCCCAUCCACCGGCGCCGCUCCAGCCCCCGCCCAUCCUCCGGCGCCGCCCUCGACCCAGUCACCGGCGCGGCCCCCGACCAGCCACCGGCGCCGCCUCGCCCAGGUGCCGGCGCCGUCCCCCGCCCAGCCACCGGCGCCGCCCCCGCCCAGCCACCGGCGCCGCUCCCGACCAGCCACCGGCGCCGCCCCCGCCCAGCCAACGGCGCCGCUCCCAGACUCAUCCUCACGGCCCCCGUCGACCUCCUAGUAACCGUGAAGCCAAUAGCGGCGGAAUAUUGCGGCUGGGCGUUCGCCCUUGAACUGCCUCGCGCCUCUGCCUCGAACGGUUGGACUCGCUGUCCCCGAGCUGGCCCCCACCCCAGCCCCUAGCAGGCCUCCACGCAACUUCCCUCGAACAUGUGCACGGUGCUGCUCUCCUCUGAUUUCUUUCUUCUUUCUCUCUAGCAACAGAUGUUGCUGCUUCCUCUGCUGAUGCUGCGUGAUGUUGAGGUUUUGAUUCAGAGAAACUGAACAAAAAGGAGAAGACAGCCAUGAUUUUUAUUGUUGUGGUUUGUUUUAUUGCCCUCAAUGUGUUUGUUGGAAUGCCUACAACAAACGUUCAUAUUUUUUUUCAUGUUUCUCUUUUGUUCUGCUGUACUAUUCUAUCCAUGAUCUUUGUACGUGUGGAUGUCCAGUAUGCACACUUCCCUACUAUGUGAAGUACAAAAUAUGUUGGGGGGGGGGGGGGGGUGAAUUCAUCAUGAAUGUUCAAAAAAAUAGUUGUCUCCUAAUUUUACAUGUUGGCUUGUCCUCUUUAUAGAAGUUUGAAUCGUACACUUGUCAGUUUGUGUGUGUGUUGUUAAAAUUCUCUAUUACGUUUGACCAAGAUACAACAGUUUGGCACAUACAUCGUUUGCAUGCCUAUCUCUCCCUUUUGCAAAGUUUUCCUAAGUGACGUUAAGUUCAGUCGCAUCUAUAGGUGUGGGUGCAGAAAAAACAUUUGCAUCAGUUCAAAAUGAAACACAAAAACAGUACGAUGCGUAGUUUGAUGUGUGUGUUAAAAACAAAACAGUAUGGUUUUGCAUUAUAUUUUGUUCACUAAACAAAAAAAGUUCUAUCAGUUCAGCAAAUAAAAACCCUCUCCUCCUGUCAAUCCCACUUCAACGGCUGCGUAAUUCCAUUUCCCCUUCUUUCUCUCUAGCCAUAACCUCGGCCGCCGGCCACCCCGCUCCUACACCUUGCUGCUUGUUCUCUGUUGGUGGUGCACGCCACUGAUGAUAGAUGGUAGCUACUCUUGAUGCACAUUUUCACUACUGGCUGUGCGUACGCAUUGGUGUGCUGUAGAGUGAUGUGAAACACCCAGUUCAAUUUCACAUUAACUAACUCGUCACACACUCAAUUCAAUUUCUUCAGUGGCAAAAGAGUGGAACCUGCAGGAGAAGCCACGGGGGGCGAGGACGUCCAACUCGGCGAGAUCAACGUCAUAGUCGACCCCAUGUUUGCUGGCAAGACCACUGUGGUUCUCCACCGGCACCGCCCAUGGCUAGAGCUUGCCGGCGAUGGCAGAUGUGGAGCUUCACCACCAUUCGCAGCCCCAAACCAUGAUCCAGUUCUUCGUGAGGCUCUCGAGCUUGUAUUUUUUUCCAGUUCAUCUAAUGUUAGGGACAGUCAUCCGGGUGCAUGGGAGCAACUGCUGAUGGAGGACGAGUCAAAGUGUUGUGACUGGCUGCUGCAGAUCCUCUGAUGGUUGCAACAAAACUAAGAUGCACAAGUUCAUAUUUUGUAUGCUUUUCAGUUCAUCUACUUCCCGGUGAAUUUCGAGUCGAACAAUUGCAAAAAUUCAGAGCAGACAACAGGAGAAGUUCAACGAAAAAUCGGACUUGUAUAGUAAUGAAGGAGGAAGCAUCAGUGCCGCCGGGUCUAGGAAUUCAGGAGGUUCAAAGAUUGUCGUGGAGCAAGUUCAAGAGUUUAGCCUGCGUGAGUCGUCCAUCAUCUUCCCUCAUCUAGCAUCGGAGUCUCUCCUCCCCCUUGCUGAACACACAGGCCAGGCUGUCUAGCACCUCCUCAGGUGAGGACGGCGACGAGUCACGACACCGCUGCGUCCAGCAGUCCAACACCACCGCCGGAGGCCGUUCACUGUCAUGCCUACUUUCGCCCGUGCCUCCUUCCCAGUCAUCAUGAGUGCUGCUUUGUUUCAGACCUGACAGAAGAAGGCAGAACCUCUCUCUCGUACACACCAGUCUGUGCUUCUUCAGUUCUAAAAUUCCCAGAGCGUCAGUGCAACUACAUAUCAGGGUAUGCUAUGUUGAUUCUAUAAUUUUCCGUAUGCUUGUAUGUACAAAAAUAUGGUAUAUUUACUGCUUCAUUUUCUUGUGGUGCGAAUGUUGUUGAUGUACAUAAUUUGUGCUGACUAGCAGCCUCCCCCACUGCGCCGCCGCCCCGACCACCAGCCUCCCUGGGCAUGGUACGCAAUCCACUCCUGUGCCACACCGUCCUCGAUGCCCCGCCACGCGCCACCAGCCGCCGCCUCCCUCCCACGCACCACCCGCGGCUGCCACGCCAAGGCUUGCGCUCAGCGGCCGUAGAGGGAGCAACGGGGUCGAGGAUCUUCAUCUCAGCAGUACAACUGCACGCCUCGUCGUUGUUCAUUAAAAGUGCUGCUGCUGUACACUCAACACAGGAGCACGCAGGCAGGUGCACGCAGCAAUAAGGGAGAAGCGCACAUGAAGCAGGCGAGGAGGUGUGUGUGUGCGAGAGAUGAUACUGAACUUGUAUUGCUGCUGUACUUGCGUGUGAAUGAUUCUUUUUUUCCUGCUCAUUCUUGUACCGCCUUCCAUGAAAAAACCUGAUGACAGAAUACUUGAUAUUUGUGUAUUCUAUCAUCAGUCCAUGGAGAAGAAAUUCUUUUUUCUUCGGUGUGUAUUCUAGCGUGAGUUCUAUGUGUAUUUUUGUUCUCUUUUCUUCAGUCCACAAGAAGAAAAAAAUGUCAGUUCAUGAAUAGAGAAUGUUUGUAUUAAACUUAAUAUUA